ACUUUCAAUGGGCAACAGCCCGCCCAUCAACCUUAGGCGUUGACUACUCU
rnacentral:tRNA from 1 species